CCUACGGGAGGCAGCAGUGAGGAAUAUUGGUCAAUGGGCGUAAGCCUGAACCAGCCAAGUCGCGUGAGGGAUGAAGGUUCUAUGGAUCGUAAACCUCUUUUAUAAGGGAAUAAAGUGCGGGACGUGUCCCGUUUUGUAUGUACCUUAUGAAUAAGGAUCGGCUAACUCCGUGCCAGCAGCCGCGGUAAUACGGAGGAUCCGAGCGUUAUCCGGAUUUAUUGGGUUUAAAGGGUGCGUAGGCGGCCUUUUAAGUCAGCGGUGAAAGUCUGUGGCUCAACCAUCGAAGUGCCGUGGAAACUGGGAGGCGUGAGGAUGUGUGAGGCAGGCGGAAUGCGUGGGGGAGGGGUGAAAUGCGGAG
rnacentral:rRNA from 1 species